CAACCUAACCUAAGAGGAAACACUGACCCCUAAGAAGAAGAGAACAAGAAAAAAAGCCAGAGUAGUAAACAUUUUAUUAUGUCACUUCAGUGUUUAUUAUGAUUGUAGUGAUGCGACCGACCAGCGCUAUAUUGUGGCUGGAUCCUUUAAUUAGUGUAUUCAGGGUGUUUAAAAGACUGCUUUGACACUGAGCUAUGCACAUCUGUGUGUCUUUGGGGAGUGACGUCUCGACUAUCUCCAGGGUGAAAGGUAGGACCGGUUUGUGUGGUGCUGUGGUUAGCUGGUUGAGGGGUAUUACAUGUGUUUUCUUUUACUUUAUCUACAGUGUGGUUCGGGGAGACAUUGAACCUUUAAGUGAGGACUUUUGCACGCCAUCAGCGGGGGCAGUAGAUUGACACUCACAGUGAUGCCGGAGUCGGGAGGGUUGCAGCAGACUCAUUUGCUACCAGUUACUGUCAGCAUCAGCGUCGAGGGAAAAGUUUUGCUGCUUCUCUCUCUCUCUCUCCAGUCGUGGUCCAUAAGACGCUGCGUCAGCCCUGUACUUUUUGGGCAUUGCAGCGCCGCUAACGGGAGACUGAAUGCUGCGGGUGUUUGGCGUUCAGUGUGGUUCGGGGAGACAUUGAACCUUUAAGUGAGGACUUUUGCACGCCAUCAGCGGGGGCAGUAGAUUGACACUCACAGUGAUGCCGGAGUCGGGAGGGUUGCAGCAGACUCAUUUGCUACCAGUUACUGUCAGCAUCAGCGUCGAGGGAAAAGUUUUGCUGCUUCUCUCUCUCUCUCUCCAGUCGUGGUCCAUAAGACGCUGCAUCAGCCCUGUACUUUUUGGGCUUUGCAGUGCCGCUAACGGGAGACUGAAUGCUGCGGGUGUUUGGCGUUCAGUGUGGUUCGGGGAGACAUUGAAACUUUAAUUGAGGACUUUUGCACGCCAUCAGCGGGGGCAGUAGAUUGACACUCACAGGACUCAAGGGAAAUGGUCCUUCAAACACUACCAUCCGACAUCAUCUUUAUUAUUAUUGCGCAACAUGAUGGCCUCACAGCUAGAAGGUCGCUGGUUCGAGUCCCGGCUGGCUCAGUUGGCGUUUCUG